UGGUAAAGACAGUUAGGCGAGAGUUAAGAAGCCACUAGACCGCUAGUAGAGGAGUAAAAUCUACAUACAGGCAGUUAGACCGAAAGUGGUUGACUUAAAGUGCUGAGGCUGUGAAAGCUUUUAGGGAAACUGGGAUUGGAUACCCCACUAUUUCUAGCUAUAAAUUUACUGUUAAUAUACCAGAGUACUACGAAUAAAAAGUUUAAAACUCAAAGGGCUUGGCGGUGUUUUAGACCUCUCAGGGGAACCUGUCUCAUAAUCGACAAUCCACGUUAAACCUAACCUUUUAUAGUAGUUCAGCCUGUAUACCGUCGUCGUCAGGUAACUUCUUAAAAUAUAGUAGUUAGCUAGAAAAUUUUAUUAAUUAAAACGUCAGAUCAAGGUGCAGCUAAUGAAAAGGGGAGGAUGGGUUACAAUUAUAAAUUCAUAACUACGGAGAGAGCUUGAAAUAAAGCGAUUUAAAGGAGGACUUGAAAGUAAUUUUGAUUAUAUAAAGAAAAUGAAUGUGGCUCUGAAACGUG
rnacentral:rRNA from 1 species